rnacentral:rRNA from 1 species
UGUCUAUUAAUUGUAGACCAGUAUGAAAGGCAAAAUGAGGGUUUAACUGUCUCUUAUAAUAAAUCAAUUAAACUGAUCUUCCAGUAAAAAAGCUGGCAUACCCCCAUAAGACCAGAAGACCCUGUGAAGCUUAAACUAAACUAUUAAACCCCUUAAUAAUUACUUUCGGUUGGGGCGACCUUGGAAAAAAAAAGAACUUCCAAACACAGUGACUUUAACCCACACAUCUAGGCCUACAAGCCCACAAACGACCCAGCACAGCUGACAAUUGAACCAAGUUACUCCAGGGAUAACAGCGCCAUCUUCUUUAAGAGUCCAUAUCAAAAAGAAGGUUUACGACCUCGAUGUUGGAUCAGGACAUCCUAAUGGUGCA